ensembl:lncRNA
CUAAUGUCUCCGCGUGUUCCUGAUGUGUUCCAUCUGGCCUGAGGCUAGCUGCUCUGUGGACAUUGUCUUUAUUUAAGGAGGGCCUGUGUGUCUCCGUCUGAGAACAACAGCGUCCAUGUUCAAAAUAUAAACCUGGAAUUUGAAAACGAAUCCAUCUAAAAUAUUCCCAAAUAGAUAAAUGCAUGAAACAGGCUGAUGUGAUGCAGCAGAUUCACACAUUUCUGAUUCAAAGGAGAGGAUUUCAAUAGGAGCAUUUAUCACACACACACACACACACACACACACACACACACACACACACACACACACACACACACACACACACACACACACACACACACACACACACACACACACACACACGCGCGUACCAACGCACACACCCUUUGGCUCUCACGCUGUUGCUACGGGAGUUUAAGCUGCUCCUCCAUUGGCCGGGCUCCGGGCCGAGCUGCCUGGCCGGUCAGCAUCCCCUCGUUGUCGUGGCAACAGACAGUGAGCAGGGCGGGAGGCGGAGAACCACAGUGCUGCUGCUGCUGAUUCAGACCGCAGAAGAAGAAACUCUGAUGAGGACGAUCUGCAGACAUAAGAACUGAUCUGUGAUACAAACCGGCUUAGUGCGCGCACACACACACACACACACACACACACACACACACACACACACAGCCUGCUAAUCCUCCACAAAACAUGAUUAUUAAUAUGUCAUGUCUGGAUGGUGUGUGUGUGUUUUAUGGUUCCGUUCCUUCUUCCUCAUCGUGUGGUUUUUAUAAUAAGGAUAAUAAAAUGAACAUAUUUGUAUACCUACAAAGGUUAUUCCUGGUUAUUUGUGUACAAGUACCUGUAAAUGUACAGCUAUCUGUAUCCCAGGUUGUUCACAUGGGGGGGGGGGCAGCAUAGGGAGGGAAACAAAAGAGGAAAAAAAAGCUCAUGAAUAUCAAACAGGAGUUACAUAAGCACCUCUGACCCAAAACGUCCCGUCAGUCCCCCCGAGGGAGGGGGGCACUUUGCAUGCACUCGCUGACCCAACGGUGGUUUAUUUACAUAAAGCGGCGGUGCGUUCCUCCCUCUGAGUGUGCUCCACUUCGGUUUGAAAGGUUCUGAGCUUCUGCUGAAAGUUCUGAUCUCCCCGUGAAAUGUUGUACAGCGAGACGCUUUCAAUCGAUUCGCGGGACGUUGGAGGGAAUUUUAAAGAGCAGAAGUCGUGUUUCUCGUCCUCAGUCGUACAUGUAUGAACAUUAAACACAACGCCUUGAUGCAAAGUCAGGAUGGAAACGCAAAGCUCUGAAUGAAGGAAGCAGACGAGGUGAAACCACGUGGCUGUGUGGUGCCCCCUAGCCUUCCCCCUGAAAAACUCUCCUCCUCCCCGACC